GACGAACGCUGGCGGCGUGCCUAAUACAUGCAAGUCGAGCGAACCACUGGGAGCUUGCUCCCAGUGGUUAGCGGCGGACGGGUGAGUAACACGUGGGCAACCUGCCUGUAAGACUGGGAUAACACCGGGAAACCGGUGCUAAUACCGGAUAAUCCUUUUCCUCUCAUGAGGAAAAGCUGAAAGUCGGUUUCGGCUGACACUUACAGAUGGGCCCGCGGCGCACUAGCUAGUUGGUGAGGUAACGGCUCACCAAGGCGACGAUGCGUAGCCGACCUGAGAGGGUGAUCGGCCACACUGGGACUGAGACACGGCCCAGACUCCUACGGGAGGCAGCAGUAGGGAAUCUUCCACAAUGGACGAAAGUCUGAUGGAGCAACGCCGCGUGAGCGAUGAAGGCCUUCGGGUCGUAAAGCUCUAUUGUUAGGGAAGAACAAGUACCGGAGUAACUGCCGGUACCUUGACGGUACCUAACCAGAAAGCCACGGCUAACUACGUGCCAGCAGCCGCAGUAACAC
rnacentral:rRNA from 1 species